AAAAAAGACACAUUCCGUCAGUGCUUCUAUUUAGGUGCAAUUUUUGGGUGCAACCCCCCCCCCCCCCCCCCCCCCUUUUCCAUGGAUUAGAAUUUCGAAGAUUGGAGAAUGUUCUUUUUCUGCUUGUCAAGAUUUCGGGUCCUCACCAUUUUGGGGAAUGCUUCUGUCAUCACCGUGAACCUGGACACCGAAGGAUGUGUCUUAAAGGGCAUUCUAUAAUUGGCCGGGUAUUUUACGAGGCAAACCUUUACGGACACGGCAAACCUAUACUUACGAUAUCGGCGUCCUAAAGAAACCCAGUCGCCUAUCCAUUGCAAUAUUUGAUGUUCGAAAGGGUGCAGGCAUACCGAAAAUGUCCCCAGAAUGCGCAAAACAUGCCCCAACGCGAUUACAGGUCAGGAAAGCGUCACAGUAACCGUGUAUAGUCUGUUCCACAAGAAUCAAAUCCAUCUGAUUUCUAGUGUCAAGACGUUAUUGAAAGCGCCAAAGGCAUCGUUUGGGAUUUAGGAAUUGACACUUGGAGGGUUCUGUAUUUCCUUUUGACUGUGCUUUUCAAAUUUCUAAAUUUGCAGUAAGCUUUAAUAAAGUCAACAUGCCACAUGUUAAAGUAU
rnacentral:sRNA from 1 species